rnacentral:rRNA from 1 species
CUUGGCGGCAAUAGCGCGGUGGUCCCACCUGACCCCAUGCCGAACUCAGAAGUGAAACGCCGUAGCGCCGAUGGUAGUGU